rnacentral:piRNA from 1 species
GGAAAAGGUUUGAAUUUCUUGUGAUUGCUA